UCCGAGGUGACUCAGUGGCAAAGAAUCUGCCUGCCAAGCAGGAGACCUGGGUUCAAGCCCUGGGUCGGAA
rnacentral:tRNA from 1 species